rnacentral:tRNA from 1 species
GUCACUAUGGCCGAGUGGUUAAGGCGUGUGACUUGAAUUGCCCAGGUAUCACAUCCCUUCGGGGGCAUAGGUUCGAACCCUAUUGGUGACG